UGCAGAAUAUAAACAAAUGCUAUAAAUAAUCACAUUUCAUUAUUGGUGAGGCCACACACACACACAGCACGCACGACGCUGAUGUCGGCGUCGACGUCGACGUCGAUACCGACGGAGACGGCAACGCCAACGCACCAAAUAGCGAUUGUCUGUGCGCGUUUUUUGACUCGCCAAUUUAGCAACGUGGCGCAGGAACAGGCAAAAGCAACAACAAUAAUAACACAGCAACAGUUUCCAAUAAAUAAACAUAACAGCACUCCCGGGGCAGACGGUAGCACUUGGUAUGCAGCCCACUGUGCGGCCGCUGACAGCGUCGUCGACAUUUGAGCAAUGUGCGCGGCCCCGCUAGGCAUACAAAUUAAAGCCCAGCUCAAUUCCAGCGUGCCUCUGGCUUUUCAAUAUCAUCAUCGGCAGCAAAAGUAAAUUGUGGCUACGCGUGCGCGUGCGCUGAAUAUAUUGAAGCUCAUUAAAAGCAAAG